rnacentral:rRNA from 1 species
UGGCACCUUCGGUGUCCGAGUUGUAAUUUGAAGAAGGUAACUUUGGAGUUGGCUCUUGUCUAUGUUCCUUGGAACAGGACGUCACAGAGGGUGAGAAUCCCGUGCGAUGAGAUGUCCAACUCUAUGUAAAGUGCUUUCGAAGAGUCGAGUUGUUUGGGAAUGCAGCUCUAAGUGGGUGGUAAAUUCCAUCUAAAGCUAAAUAUUGGCGAGAGACCGAUAGCGAACAAGUACAGUGAUGGAAAGAUGAAAAGAACUUUGAAAAGAGAGUGAAAAAGUACGUGAAAUUGUUGAAAGGGAAGGGUUUGAGAUCAGACUUGGUAUUUUGUAUGUCUUGCUUUCGGGUGGGGCCUCUGCAGUUUACUGGGCCAGCAUCGGUUUGGACGGUAGGAUAAUGACAUUGGAAUGUGGCACUACUUCGGUGGUGUGUUAUAGACUUUGUUGAUACUGCCUGUCUAGACCGAGGACUGCGUCUUUGACUAGGAUGCUGGCAUAAUGAUCCUAAACCGCCC